GAGGGUAUAGCUCAGCGGUAGGGCGCAUGCUUAGCAUGCACAAGGUCCUGGGUUCAAUCCCCAGGACCCCUG
rnacentral:tRNA from 1 species